GACGAACGCUGGCGGCGUGCUUAACACAUGCAAGUCGAACGGAAAGGCCUGCUUUCCCUUGUGGAUUGCGGGUACUCGAGUGGCGAACGGGUGAGUAACACGUGAGUGAUCUGCCCCCAACUUGGGUAUAAGCCUGGGAAACUGGGUCUAAUUCCCGAUAGGACUGCAGGGUGGUGCCUGUGGUGGAAAACGAUUUUCUAGUGGUUGGGGAUGAGCUCGCGGCCUAUCAGCUUGUUGGUGGGGUAAUGGCCUACCAAGGCGGCGACGGGUAGCCGGCCUGGGAGGGGGGACGGCCACAUUGGGACUGGGAUACGGCCCAGACUCCUACGGGAGGCAGCAGUGGGGAAGAUAGCACAAGGGGCGGAAGCCUGAUGCAGCGACGCCGCGGGGGGGAUGACGGCCUUCGGGUUGUAAACUCCUUUCGACCGCGAGGAAGCCACCUGGUUGGAAGGGUGGUGACGGUAGUGGUAGAAGAAGCACCGGCUAACUACGUG
rnacentral:rRNA from 1 species